UUUCUACGAACAUAUCGACGAAUAUUAGUAUGUUCAUUAGUAUUUCUACGAACACUACAUUGUUGAUAUGCAGAUCUGCAGAUCCGGCGGCAGCGCGGCGAUCGCCACCACAAGCGUCCACGUGACCGCCCUGGACGGCCUAGUGAAUGUGAACUCCCUCUUCACCAUCACCGUCUUCGUCGGCCGCUCCUUGGCGACGCCGACGUCGACUGAUUGGGGAGAUUGGGGAGGGAGGCGAGGGAAGAGGGAAUGGAGGGGACGGCGGCGGUCUCGGAGGGGACGGUGGAUGAGACGGAGGAGAAGAUGGAGGUGAGGAGCAGCAGCAGGAGAAGGAGGCGGCGCUAGAUCUGAAAAAGGAAAGAGCGGCAGCGACGAUGGUUGUUGGACUGCUUUCGAAGGGAGGCAGAUCAAGAGGAGAGUGAUUUCCAGUAGGAGAGACCGAAAGAUGAGAGGCGCCAACUGCUGCCGGC
rnacentral:lncRNA from 1 species